UCAGAGGUCCUUCAAACUAAAUUUGAUUGCUACAGAAUUUGAACUACAUGUCCAAGACAGCUUGGCAAUGAUAAAAUGUGAAAAGGUUCUGUUUUGGUCAUUGGCUGUGAAGUUGGCAUUGACUCACCACUAAUAUUCAAUUUCCUAAAACCAGUUUAAUGUGGCAAAAUGGAAUUUGGUAAUAGACCCAUGAUAAGCCAUUUUAAUGAAGAUUGAGGAAGUCUAGCAUACUCAAAUGUCCUUAGUAUGGUUCUGCCUUCCAGAAUGUUUGAAAAAUGUAUCUAACGAUGUAUUUGUAUAUAUACAUACCUUUCAUGAGUAAACUACAAUUUAAAAAAAAAGCCUCCGGAAGCCAUGUUUGCAAGGGGACAGGAAGUUUGACGUUUUGCUUUGAAGCAGCCAGUUUAGGUUCAUUUAAGCGGGUCCAUGUCCAAAUACUGUAGUACCUUCUGGAAAAUUCAGCCCUCAAACACUUGCUUGACUGAGCAACAUGAAAUUUGGUAGGCAUGUCUAUCAUGAGUAGAACCCCCCCAAAAAAACCAUCUCCAGACUUGAAAAUAUGAAUGAAUAAUUUAACGGUAAUUUUGGUUGUUUUCAAAGGUCGCCCAAACAUUUUUUGGGACAAUAUUGCUACGCAAUUUGAACCCGACAUAUGACGCCGCGUUAGGAAGCAUUUGAGUUGUUGUUUUGAAAGGACGUUGGAUGAAAACACAAAUAUUACUCAGCGUCAAAGUUUGACCAAGCAGCUUGUAUGUUUUGAAGACUUGGACAGACGGGGCUUUACGAACGCCGCACGUGACGAGUUGUGUUAGCGAAGCGUAUCAUCGGGCCUGACCGUGGAUAAUGAUACAAAUCAGACUGUAAUCACAACCAGGGACAGAGGUUAUGUUACUUGAUUAUUAUUAUUAUUUUUUUUCUUAAAAGGAGGCAAAUGCCGCAAAGAGAUGAAUGAGUAACUGAUUGCUGAUGGGCUUAACGCACUGAUGGAUGGAUGAAUGAUGGGCAGAUUGAUAGAUAAAGGAAUGCGUGUAUUGGUGCCGUAUGGAUGAGUCCAGGGUGGAGGAGAUGGACUGAUGAGUGGAUGAAUGCAUCGAUAAACGGAACAGAAUGGUUGAGUGAGUGACCGAUGGAAGAACUGAUGAAUGAAUUCAGGACUAGAAACGGAUGAAGACGUGGAUCAACCGAAAUUAAAAGGAUGACUGCUGGGUAGCUGGGUCAAUUCACAAAGGGACGAAUGGAACAGAUGACUCAUAACUUUAAUCUAGUCUAUGCUGUACUUUUGUUUUGGUCAUUGUCCCUGAAGAAAAUCCUUCUUCACGGAGACCAGAUGUUAAAAAUGGGAAGCAAGCAACAUUUAAAAAUAAAAAAUAAAAAUCUGUUUCUUUGUUCAGCCAGGUACAAAUAUCUCAUGCCCGCUGGUUGGGAAUCUCCCAAGUUUAAGAGUCAUUAGCAUUCGACAGAAGACAAAAAAACAAAACAAAAAAGGGGAAGUCAAGAUCACCGAGGAGAAUCCCAGAAAGUCUCUGGUGCACGUUCAAUUCCAACCCCUCCCGAUACGCGUGCAGUCUUUGAAUCAAGCUUCAAAGUCGAGCGUUAUUGAAUCAAGUCGCCGUUUGCUCGGUGGCACACAAAUACUAACCAGUCGGUCUCGAAAAAUGUGAUCUCCGGGAGUCGAAUUACUAAACAACAACAAAGAGUUGAGGCAUCAAAGGAACUGGAAGUGGAUGGCGGGAGGGGGCAGCUGGAAUUGGGGAGGGGGAACGUGAUCCUCGGUGGGAUUAGCGCGUCUUCAUUGCAGGCCAAACAGUUUUUGGUAAAUCCCUAUGAUGAAACCGCAAAGUAAGCGCUCAAGGCAAAACGCCUCUCCGAGUCUUAACCGAUGCCUCACCUGUUUAAAGGCCAGCCACUCAUCUUUAGCUUGUUGCUAUUCGCUUUAAUUAUUUUAGUUUUAUUUUUUCUAUUUCAAAGGUUGACUGAGCUUUUAUGAGAUUUGGGGUUUCGUUUUUUACAAGACGAGCGCCUGAUGCACUUUCCACCACUGCAAAGCCUCAGGACACGGACUCCCGAGCCAGAAGUGUCAUUAUUGAUUGGCACGAAUCUGAAGAAGUGUAAUUGCAGAUGUUAGUUGAUGCAUGUUUAGGAUAAAGGCUGAGCACCGGGACAUUUUCCGCCCGUCCUCUGCCAUGUCCAUUAUGGACUAAUCCAAUCUUUUCUGGGCACUUUUUAUGUCCUUUUUCUUGACAUGAGACUUUUUUAGCAUUGCGAGGCAGGCGAACAGAAAUGUGCUCGGCAUAAUUUGGAAUAGAUAUUGUUUUGUUUGUUUGUUUAUUUAUUGAACAUAUAAAAUAUACUGCAACAAGUUGCCAAAAGUGAAAGCAAGCAAGAUAUAAAAAGGAAAAGAAAAUAGUCAUCAUCACAAAUUAUGUUCAAAGAAGUAAAAAACUUAUCUAGUCCUACCCCUUGUUCAUUUCUGAAUAAUUUUUCAAUACAGAAAAAGGAAAGUCUACAUAUCACCAAGUGCUUUUACCCAUAUGUGUACUAUUCAUUCAUUCAUUCAUCUUCCGUACCGCUUGAUCCUCACUAGGGUCGCGGGGGGUGCUGGAGCCCAUCCCAGCCGUCUCCGGGCAGUAGGCGGUGGACACCCUGAAUCGGUUGCCAGCCAAUCGCAGGGCACACAGAGACGAACAACCAUCCACGCUCACACUCACACCUAGGGACAAUUUAGAGUGUUCAAUCAGCCUGCCAUGCAUAUUUUUGGAAUGUGGGAGGAAACCGGAGCACCCGGAGAAAACCCACGCAGGCCCGGGGAGAACAUGCAAACUCCACACAGGGAGGCCGGAGCUGGAAUCGAACCCGGUACCUCUGCACUGUGAAGCCGCCGUGCUAACCACUGGACUA